rnacentral:lncRNA from 1 species
AUUAAAUCAAUUUAUGAAUUACCUAACACCACACGGUCAAUUUUACAAAAUUCAUAAAAGGUAAUUUUUGUCCUUUAAGAAGGAAGAACAAUAAAUGAUGAUUUAAUUACAAAAUUCAUAAAAGAUUAAUUACAUGGUCUUUUAUGCUCCAGGGGUAAAAUUGACUUUUUAAAAAAUUUCCGUUACAUAUUAACUGAGUUUUAACGGAAUGGUGGGAAAAUGCUAACAAUUUAAAUGUUUGGUGGUAAAUUGAUAGUUUUACCAAACCAUGGUACUGACAUGAUGUGUCAGAAUACCUUUGGUGGGAAAAUGAU